AAGUCGUAACAAGGUUUCCGUAGGUGAACCUGCGGAAGGAUCAUUAGCAAGAUUGCCUCCUCUCGCUCAUCAUUGCCCCCUCCAUUUUGUGGAUGGUGGUGAUGGUGGGAAGGGGAAGAAAGGCAAGUGCCAUCCUUGUGUUAUGUUUUUCAUGUGUAUGUGUGUGUGUGUGUUGCGCGAUUCAUUCGCGCAUCCGCGCGCAUCACUUUUACCAUUCAACACUCUUUACCAUUCAUAUUCUGAACAAACCUUGUCAUUGCUCGCAAGAGCAUGCACAAACCAACCGAAAACUGCCAGCAAUGGAUCACUCGGUUCUC
rnacentral:misc_RNA from 1 species